rnacentral:rRNA from 1 species
GGCAGCUGACGAGUCCUUAACUGACGCUAAAGCUCGAAAGUGCGGGUAUCGAACAGGAUUAGAUACCCUGGUAGUCCGCACGGUAAACGAUGGAUGCCCGCUGUUGGCGAUAUACUGUCAGCGGCCAAGCGAAAGCGUUAAGCAUCCCACCUGGGGAGUACGCCGGCAACGGUGAAACUCAAAGGAAUUGACGGGGGCCCGCACAAGCGGAGGAACAUGUGGUUUAAUUCGAUGAUUCGCGAGGAACCUUACCCGGGCUUGAACUGCAGGCGAACGAUUCAGAGAUGAUGAGGGCCUUCGGGGCGCCUGUGGAGGUGCUGCAUGGUUGUCGUCAGCUCGUGCCGUGAGGUGUCGGCUUAAGUGCCAUAACGAGCGCAACCCCUUUCUCCAGUUUCCAUCAGGUUAAGCUGGGCACUCUCGAGACACUGCCACCGUAAGGUGUGAGGAAGGUGGGGAUGACAUCAAACCUCCACCGACUGACGUGCGGUGUGUACAAGCCCGGACAAUGGGGAGUACAGAGAGUCGGCCGCGCGCAAGUUCGGUCUAAUCAAGAAAGCUCUCGUCAGUUCGGAGAUCGCUAUGCAACCCGACCCCAUGAAC